UACGUAGGCAGCAAGCGGUGAUCGGAAUUACUGGGCGUAAAGGGCGCGUAGGCGGUGCUCUAAGUUUGGUGCGAAAUCUCCCGGCUUAACUGGGAGGGUGCGCCGAAGACUGGAGUGCUUGAGUGCGGGAGAGGAAAGCGGAAUUCCUGGUGUAGCGGUGAAAUGCGUAGAGAUCAGGAGGAACGCCUGCGGUGUAGACGGCUUUCUGGACGGUAACUGACGCUGAGGCACGAAAGCGUGGGUAGCAAACAGG
rnacentral:rRNA from 1 species